rnacentral:rRNA from 1 species
CCCUUAGAUGUUCUGGGCUGCACGCGCGCUACACUGACACACGCAACGAGUCUCCUGCCCUGACAGGGUCGGGUAAUCAUUUGAGUGGGUGUCGUGAUGGGGAUAGAGUAUUGCAAUUAUUGCUCUUGAACGAGGAAUUCCUAGUAAGCACAAGUCAGCAGCUUGUGCUGAUUACGUCCCUGCCCUUUGUACACACCGCCCGUCGCUCCUACCGAGGGGGUGAUCCGGUGAAUGAUUCGGACUCUGGUGCUUCUAGCUGCUAGAUGCGCCGGAGGAAGUUUUGUGAACCUUAUCACUUGGAGGAAGGAGAAGUCGUAACA